CGAAAAAGAGGGGUUUUCCGGGUUGUCAGUCCCACCCACACCGUAGGCAAUCGUCUCUGUUCCAACCGCCACACCUCGUGUUCACUCAAGGAUAGCGAGAAUUUUGUCGAUGACGGGAUUCAAAUUGAGCCUUUCAACCUAGAUAAAGAAACGGAAGAAGGUUAUUUUCAUGCAGCAGCCAAUUUUGUUGAAUAUGUAAGAGAGAAUGAGAUUAAGCGAUGGUGUGCAGAACAUGCAGAAGUGUAAACAAAAUGGAGGGCCCCACAUGGCUUUAUCUGACAGAGAAGCAAAAGAGUGAUGGAAGAAAUUCAUUAAAGGUUGCUAA